UAUUUAAGAAAAACACUUAUAUUUACAUUAUUUUUUAUCUGUUCGAUUUAUUAAUUUUUGCUGCCAAUGGACUUGUCCUUGUCUACUACAAAAGUAGUUCGUAAAUUCCUCCCGUGUUCUAAAUGCCUGUAAUGUCGCAUUUCCCCCAGUUUUAUUUAAUGGUACCAUAUUUUUAGUUGGAAGAGUUGUGGCAGGUUCUUCUUCACUUGCAGUUCUAACACAGGGCGAGUUUCUUAGCAAAUUAUGCAAACAACAACACGCUGUAAUUAACAGCUCUGCUGUAUCUGGUUUAAUAGCAAUAAGUGUGAAGAAUAUUCUGAAAGUUUGGCACAAAAUGCCAAAGGCAUUUUCUACAGUUCUUCCUGCCCUACAUAACCUAUAAUUAAAGAUACGUUUCUGAUUAUUAUCAGAAACUUGAUCUUUUGGAUAAGGACGUAACAGCUCAAGACUGCAAAACAAGAUGGAGAACAUUAAGAGAUUUAUAUAAUAGGAAACAAAAACUAAUAACGAAGAAACUAACUAGUACUGCUGCAAGCAGCAAGAGAUCAACCUGGGAGUAUUUGAGUCGCAUGUUAUUCCUAAGAAAAGUGCCACAUGAAAAGGCGUCCUUUACUAAUGUUUCCGGAACUGGGUCUCCAACCUCUGAUGGACUUUAUGAAAAUGACCAAGACAAAGAAAAUGAAGAAACUGUUAUAGAUGAAACUGAACAAGAAGAGCACGAAGAGAAAGAAGACAAUAACACUAAAAAAAGAUAUUUUGAAGAGUCUGAAAUACCCAAGAAAAGUGCAAACAAAAAGUAAAAUACAGAUCGCAUUCUUGCAGCUUUAGAGAACAGAGGCAAAGAGAGAAAUGAAUUAAUUCGUGAUUUAUUGUCAGCUUCAUCUGAACCCAUCACUACGCAUGAAACAAAUCCGAUAAUGACAUUUUUUCAGAGUAUGGCUCAAACUGUAAUGACUUUUCUUCCCCACCUAGCAGUUGAGGCAAAAGCUAAAGUUUGCCAAAUUGUUACCGACUUGGAAUACCGUUCAAUUUCUCAUAAUAAGCAGGCAAACCAUUCCUGCAAGCCCUAUUGCUAUCAGCAAAAUAGUAUACCAAGAGACGAUAUUUCUGAGGCUCAGUCUAGCAGUUUAGAUGCUAUUUCUGA
rnacentral:misc_RNA from 1 species